GCGCAUAUGUCGUAAUUGGUAGCCGAGCCAGACUUAGGAUCUGGUGCCGAGAGGCGUUAGGGUUCGAGUCCCUAUAUGCGCA
rnacentral:tRNA from 1 species